rnacentral:rRNA from 1 species
GAGGAACGCUGGCGGCGUGCCUAAUACAUGCAAGUCGAGCGAACAGACGAGGAGCUUGCUCCUCUGACGUUAGCGGCGGACGGGUGAGUAACACGUGGAUAACCUACCUAUAAGACUGGGAUAACUUCGGGAAACCGGAGCUAAUACCGGAUAAUAUAUUGAACCGCAUGGUUCAAUAGUGAAAGACGGUUGUGCUGGCACUUAUAGAUGGAUCCGCGCCGCAUUAGCUAGUUGGUAAGGUAACGGCUUACCAAGGCAACGAUGCGUAGCCGACCUGAGAGGGUGAUCGGCCACACUGGAACUGAGACACGGUCCAGACUCCUACGGGAGGCAGCAGUAGGGAAUCUUCCGCAAUGGGCGCAAGCCUGACGGAGCAACGCCGCGUGAGUGAUGAAGGUCUUCGGAUCGUAAAACUCUGUUAUUAGGGAAGAACAAAUGUGUAAGUAACUAUGCACGUCUUGACGGUACCUAAUCAGAAAGCCACGGCUCCCUACGUG